CUGGACACCUGUGGUAAAAUGUCCUCAUGAUCUCCAGAAAUAACGCUGUAAGAUCCUAGCUGUUUCAGAGGCAGGGAAUGCGUAAGGUAAAAGAAAACUGGAACUUUUGCUUCCUUUGCCUUCCCCAGUCCUUAGCAUCACUAUUGUUGUUGUCAGGAAUCCAUGAGUAACCAGCGUCCUGACUGUUACAUUCAGUUCUGGACCAAGGCAAUGCACACACAGCUCAUCUCACUUUUGCUGACAAAAAGGUGCUAUCUGUUCACGGUGAUCUGUCUCUGCCUCCUCGGCCUGGCUUUGCAUCAGCAACUGAGAGAUACAACACUCUACAGCUAGGCCCUGCGGCUCACUAAGUAUGGACAAAAUAAUGUGUCACAUAUGAAAUAAUUGAAAUUAUAAUAAAUCAGUCUGAGAACAGCAGCCACGUCUCCACACCACUGCACUGUAUGAAUGACCUGUUCUGUACCCGGGGUGAUCUCCUUGCAGCAGGUCAGGCGAACAAUAGUGUGCGGCUGCCUUGCUUUACAUGUGCCCUUUCCCCACUGUUUCUUGAUAGCCUGCCAGCUCUGAAGGCAUAGCUUUUGGGGGGUCAAAUUCUUCCCCUGACAUCAGUGUGGAUGUGGAGUAAAUUAGUGUAUCUGCUGUAGUUUCUUAAGAUUUACGCUGGCACAGUGGAGAUCAAGAUGCCGACGUACAUCAGUGCAGGCUUUUUGAGGUGACACCUUCUGAUCGAUGGUAAGAACAGGUUAGAGUGUCCACUGGUGCCCCGGGUGCUCACAUUUACAUCACCUCCCUUUGCACUGACCAUUGUUUCCUCACUGUAUAUAAAUAGACAGCUGCCCCUUAUUUGAGGAUUUGAGCAGUCCACGCAAGUAUGAAAUUCUUGCUGGUCUUCUGCUUGAUCCUUCUCUUCUCAGGGACUCUGUGUGAUGCUCGCUGUUACUUUAGACCAUCCAGCAAAUACGGGUGCCUUUCAAACAGAAACCUUUAUGUUUUUGGUGCGGUGUGGAAGACUGAAGAUUGUUACCAAUGCAGGUGUAAGAUGAAUGCAAUGAUUUGCUGCAGCUUAGUUGUAAUCCCCAAGAACUAUGACAGGGCAAACUGCGUUGGUCUGUUCCACAAGAAAAGCUGUUCAAUCAAAGUAGUGAAGAAGACAAACCCUGACAUAAGCUGCAAAGUCUACAAUGGAGUUGGUUAAGUCCAUGUGAUGUGUUUCUCCUCUUCUGCGUGUCCCUGGAAGUUGAAUAUAUUCUGGAUCUCUCAUUUAGAGGAAAUCAGCAUAGCAACAUGGUUUCAGGAGGAAUGGGUUCACCUCAUGCCUUUUACAACUCUAAUUACGGCAUGUCUGUCUCAUUUCUGACACUAGGGGGUUUGUCUUAUUAUAUACACAUUUGUAACAAAGCUUUACCAUACAUAAUUUUGUGACUUUAUUCCUGCUGGGAUCCAGAGUUAAAUAAAUUUCCACAUAUACCAUACUACUUCUUUUCC
rnacentral:lncRNA from 1 species